AUUGAACGCUGGCGGCAGGCCUAACACAUGCAAGUCGAACGAGUGGCGGACGGGUGAGUAAUGUUUGGGAAACUACCUGAUGGAGGGGGAUAACUACGGGAAACGGUAGCUAAUACCGCAUACCAUAAGAUGAGCCCAGGUGGGAUGAGGUAGUUGGUGGGGUAAAGGCUCACCAAGGCGACGAUCCCUAGCUGGUCUGAGAGGAUGACCAGCCACACUGGAACUGAGACACGGUCCAGACUCCUACGGGAGGAAGCAGUGGGGAAUAUUGCACAAUGGGCGCAAGCCUGAUGCAGCCAUGCCGCGUGUAUGAAGAAGGCCUUCGGGUUGUAAAGUACUUUCAGUGGGGAGGCGUUACCCGCAGAAGAAGCACCGGCUAACUCCGUGCCAGCCGCCGCGGUAAUAC
rnacentral:rRNA from 1 species